rnacentral:lncRNA from 1 species
CAGCAACUUACAUAUAUUUUAAUUCUAAUUAUUUAUUAAUUGGGAGGAAACCAGAAGAAACCCCAGAAGAAACCCACAAAGACACAAAGAGAACAUGGAAACUCCACCCAGAAAGGGACUUGAACCCACAACCCCAGUGCUGGGAGGCCACCGUGUCUCCACACUGUGCAACUUUGAUAUACAUACAUACAUGCAUGCAUUUAAGUUGAGGAUGUUGCACUCCCUUUGUUAAUACUCCCCUCUCCUUAUCACCCUGCUACUCAUGCUAAUUUCUUCUGUACCUAUACAGUACCAUGACCUUUUUCUACAUAUUAAAUGAACUAUACAAAUUAUUUAUUAAUUACAGCAUCACUGAAAUUCAGUCAGUUAUUUACUACAGUACAAAAGUUUAACACAUCCUAAAUUAACAAAAUAAAGUAAAUAGGACUGUGAAACAUCAUAAUGUACUAAUUAAUGUAAAUGUUUCAUUUGUUUGACAGCUAUCGGCUAUACGAAGAGUAUCAGUGUGAAAGGUCACGUAGGACAAACAGUGAACAUCACCUGCAAUUACCCACAAUCCCUCAGCAGUAAACCCAAGUUCCUCUGUAGGAGAAGGAGCACUGCUGACUGUUAUUAUACAGCAUCUGUUAAAGAGAGUAAAAGACGGAUAAAGGAGGGGAAAUUCUCUCUGUAUGAUGAAAAAGCAAGGAAGACUUUCACAGUGAGCAUCAGCAGUGUGACUGAGGGAGAUUCUGGUGAAUACUGGUGUGGAGCUGAAUCAGACUGGGAAUCUGAUCACGGAUACAAGAUUUAUUUCACACAGAUCAACCUCAGAGUUACUGCAGAACCAGGACAACCAGAUACAUCAACCCCCUCAAGAAGUUUCACUCAACAGAGCAUGAAAACAACUUUAAAAAACAGUGAACAGCCCCAACAACCUCUAGUGACGACGAACACGCCAGCAACAGAAUUUCCAACGUACUUCGUGAUCACUGUUGUGUCUGUGAUUCUGGUUCUGCUUCUAAUCGGACUUUUAGUCUUCGUCGUCAUUCUCCGAAAGAGGGUCAAGGCUCGAGCCUCAACAUCAAUCCAGUCCACCAGAGGAUCCUCAAACACUAACACGGUCUAUGAGGAGAUAAAAGACACCAAACGCCAUCCUUCACCAGAUUCUGGAGCUUCCACAGUCCACCAGCUACCCACAAACCCCUCAGAUCCUUCUCACACUCUCUACGAUAAUGUCCAACUCGGUCAAUGUCCAAAUCCCAUCUACUCUACAGCUCCAGAGCAGAUCAUCAACUCAACACCUCAAAUACCCACAAGCUCCUCUGGUUCCUCAGCCAGUACUGCUGAAGAUCCAGCUUACGCCACGGUGAAGUUCACCAAGAAUUAUAACGUUACAGCAAAAGUCAACAUGAAGGAGGAGUCAUGUGACUACGCUACUGUCAAACAUGCUAGCGGAACUGGCUAGGUUAUGAUAAUAUAUGUAAUAUUAUAAUUUGUUUUGACAUAGUCUCAUAAACUGUUAUUUUAUCGUUUAUCAAUUUUUUU